rnacentral:rRNA from 1 species
AUUGAACGCUGGCGGCAUACCUUACACAUGCAAGUCGAACGGCAGCGCGGGAGCAAUCCUGGCGGCGAGUGGCGAACGGGUGAGUAAUACAUCGGAACGUGCCCAAUCGUGGGGGAUAACGCAGCGAAAGCUGUGCUAAUACCGCAUACGAUCUACGGAUGAAAGCAGGGGAUCGCAAGACCUUGCGCGAAUGGAGCGGCCGAUGGCAGAUUAGGUAGUUGGUGAGGUAAAGGCUCACCAAGCCUUCGAUCUGUAGCUGGUCUGAGAGGACGACCAGCCACACUGGGACUGAGACACGGCCCAGACUCCUACGGGAGGCAGCAGUGGGGAAUUUUGGACAAUGGGCGAAAGCCUGAUCCAGCCAUGCCGCGUGCAGGAUGAAGGCCUUCGGGUUGUAAACUGCUUUUGUACGGAACGAAACGGUCUUUUCUAAUAAAGAAGGCUAAUGACGGUACCGUAAGAAUAAGCACCGGCUAACUACGUG